AUCAUCCUGGCAGGAGAGUGCGCUAUAGUAGAAUAUAGCGCCGCCGAAGGCGUAACCCCCCGGAAUCGCUCAGGCCUGGCCGGUAAACCGGUUUGAACAACUGCUAGUGACAG
rnacentral:ncRNA from 1 species